rnacentral:rRNA from 1 species
CCUACGGGGUGCAGCAGUGGGGAAUAUUGCACAAUGGGGGAAACCCUGAUGCAGCGACGCCGCGUGAGCGAUGAAGUAUUUCGGUAUGUAAAGCUCUAUCAGCAGGGAAGAAAAUGACGGUACCCGACUAAGGAGCCCCGGCCAACUACGGGCCAGCAGCCGCGGUAAUACGUAGGGGGCAAGCGUUAUCCGGAUUUACUGGGUGUAAAGGGAGCGUAGACGGGUUGGCAAGCCAGAUGUGAAAGGCUGGGGCGCAACCCCGGGACUGCAUUUAGAACUGGAAUGCUAGAGUGUCGGAGAGGCAGGCGGAAUUCCUAGUGUAGCGGUGAAAUGCGUAGAUAUUAGGAGGAACACCAGUGGCGAAGGCGGCCUGCUGGACGAUGACUGACGUUGAGGCACGAAAGCGUGGGGAGCAAACAGGAUUAGAUACCCUGGUAGUC